UCGAACCCCGGAGCCUCCGUGUUAGAGGCUGUGAAGGGGCUAUGAGUGCACCUGCGGGGUCGAAGUCGCCCCGGACUGGCCCCUCCCCGGACUCCAACCCCUCCCACCCGGCCGGCCCUCCCCACUGCGGGUUCCGCUGGCCGGGGGACUGUUCCCGGGGCUCCUAGUCUCGGCCGCCACUCUUCCGCCCCUCCCUCCUCGCCGCCGCUCGCACGUCUGCAGCUCCCGGGCCGAGCGGGCGGCGCGCUGGGGGCAUGCGCUCCAUGAGGGCUCUGCAGAACGCGCUGAGCCGCGCGGGCAGCCACGGCCAGAGGGGAGGCUGGGGUCACCCGAGCCGGGGCCCGCUCCUGGGCGGGGGUGUCCGGUACUACUUCGGUGAGGCCGCGGCGCAGGGCAGGGGGACGCCGCACAGCCACCAGCCGCAGCACUCGGACCAGUAAGGCUCGCGGGACAGGGGCAGGGGACAGACUGGCUCCCACUCCCACUGUCGUUCUCGCUAGCUCUCUGGGAGUCCCCUUUCCCAGAGAGCGAGCGCAUCUCAUCUCCUCUCCGCGCUUACUAGCCCUGCGAUGCCUUUUCCU
rnacentral:lncRNA from 1 species